CCAUGCCGAACUCAGAAGUGAAACGCCGUAGCGCCGAUGGUAGUGUGGGGUCUCCCCAUGCGAGAGUAGGGAACUGCCAGGCA
rnacentral:rRNA from 3 species